CACGUAGUUAGCCGUGGCUUUCUGGUUAGGUACCGUCAAGGUGCUAGCAGUUACUCUAGCACUUGUUCUUCCCUAACAACAGAGCUUUACGACCCGAAGGCCUUCAUCGUUCACGCGGCGUUGCUCCGUCAGACUUUCGUCCAUUGCGGAAGAUUCCCUACUGCUGCCUCCCGUAGGAGUCUGGGCCGUGUCUCAGUCCCAGUGUGGCCGAUCACCCUCUCAGGUCGGCUACGCAUCGUUGCCUUGGUGAGCCGUUACCUCACCAACUAGCUAAUGCGCCGCGGGUCCAUCUGUAAGUGAUAGCGAGAAGCCAUCUUUCAAAUUUGAACCAUGCGGUUCAAAUUAUUAUCCGGUAUUAGCUCCGGUUUCCCGGAGUUAUCCCAAUCUUACAGGCAGGUUACCCACGUGUUACUCACCCGUCCGCCGCUAAUCUUUGGGAGCAAGCUCCCUCAGAUUCGCUCGACUUGCAUGUAUUAGGCACGCCGCCAGCGUUCGUCCUGAGCCAGGA
rnacentral:rRNA from 1 species